AGUGAACGCUGGCGGUAGGCCUAACACAUGCAAGUCGAACGGCAGCACAGUAAGAGCUUGCUCUUACGGGUGGCGAGUGGCGGACGGGUGAGGAAUACAUCGGAAUCUACUUUUUCGUGGGGGAUAACGUAGGGAAACUUACGCUAAUACCGCAUACGACCUACGGGUGAAAGCAUGGGAUCUUCGGACCUUGCGCGAUUGAAUGCGCCGAUGUCGGAUUAGCUAGUUGGCGGGGUAAAGGCCCACCAAGGCGACGAUCCGUAGCUGGUCUGAGAGGAUGGUCAGCCACACUGGAGCUGAGACACGGUCCAGAGUCCUACGGGAGGCAGCAGAGGGGAAUAUUGGACAAUGGGCGCAAGCCUGAUCCAGCCAUACCGCGUGGGUGAAGGAGGCCUUCGGGUUGUAAAGCCCUUUUGUUGGGAAAGAAAAGCAGCAGGUUAAUACCCCGCUGUUCUGACGGUACCCAAAGAAUAAGCACCGGCUAACUUCGUG
rnacentral:rRNA from 1 species